rnacentral:rRNA from 1 species
GCGAGCGUUAAUCGGAAUUACUGGGCGUAAAGCGCAUGCAGGUGGUUUGUUAAGUCAGAUGUGAAAGCCCCGGGGCUCAACCUCGGAAUUGCAUUUGAAACUGGCAGACUAGAGUACUGUAGAGGGGGUAGAAUUUCAGGUGUAGCGGUGAAAUGCGUAGAGAUCUGAAGGAAUACCGGUGGCGAAGGCGGCCCCCUGGACAGAUACUGACACUCAGAUGCGAAAGCGUGGGGAGCAAACAGGAUUAGACUACCCUGGUAG